UAUUUUAAUUUUUGUUUUUUUACGAUUAAAUUGUUAUGUAUUUUUUAAUUAUUCAAAUGUUUAUAUUUUUAACGGUUUGUUCUUUGUUUAAUUUUUUGUAUUUUAGUUUAGGGAGGAAGAUUAGGAAUGACCAACUGACAGACAUGGGACCUGAAGCUGCUUGGUUCUGGGAGCGGGUGGAUGGAUCCGGUCUUGCCCCCUCCUUAAAACUAGAUAUUCAACCAUCAGCCCUGGCCUCAUCAAUGCCUUAUCAGAGAGAUGGCAUGAGGAGACCAGCAACUUCCAUUUGUCCGUUGAGGGGAUGACUGUCACACUCGAUGAUGUGACAUGUCUUCUACACAUCCCCAUCCAUAUGAGGCACAUGCACUACAGUGACUGCAACUACAAGUUAGGUAUUGAGUUGCAGAAGAAUAAGUUGGGUUUGACAGAGAAGAAAACUGAGGAUGAGACAAGCACACAGUGGGGGUGGAAAUUUUAGUAUUCCUAACCUGAAGAAGUUUUAUGGUAGACUCCUACAUAGGUGCAAUCAGUUGGAGGAGACGACUGAUGAGGAGGAGGCGGAGGAGCUCCAGAGGACUAGGAUGCACUGCAUUAAGGCAUUUUGAUGUUUUUUUGAUAUGAAGCAAUGACCAAUUAUCUAGUAGAUCUGAACACAAUGCUAGCUGGAGUCUGCUUCAACGGUGGAAAGUCCAAUAAGUUGUUCAGGGUUCGGGUCGAAGACACAAGGAGAGUGGAAGACAUUUGGUAUGAACAUCCAUCGAUCGACUCAGUCGGGAGAACCUAUAUAGUUGAUUUGGUAGAAUACAUGUAAUGUGUACUCAUCUUAUAUGAAGGGAUUCUAUGUGAGAACCUAUAUAGUUGAUUUGGUAGAAACAUGUGAUGCAUUCUCUUCAUUAUUUUGAGUUUUCAAAGAGAUUACCAAAUUUUUACACUAA